UUAAGCGACUAAGCGUACACGGUGGAUGCCCUGGCAGUCAGAGGCGAUGAAGGACGUGCUAAUCUGCGAAAAGCGUCGGUAAGGUGAUAUGAACCGUUAUAACCGGCGAUGUCCGAAUGGGGAAACCCAGUGCAAUUCGUUGCACUAUCGUUAACUGAAUACAUAGGUUAACGAGGCGAACCGGGGGAACUGAAACAUCUAAGUACCCCGAGGAAAAGAAAUCAACCGAGAUUCCCCCAGUAGCGGCGAGCGAACGGGGAGCAGCCCAGAGUCUGAAUCAGCUUGUGUGUUAGUGGAACGGUCUGGAAAGUCCGACGGUACAGGGUGAUAGUCCCGUACACCAAAAUGCACAGGUUGUGAACUCGAAGAGUAGGGCGGGACACGUGGUAUCCUGUCUGAAUAUGGGGGGACCAUCCUCCAAGGCUAAAUACUCCUGACUGACCGAUAGUGAACCAGUACCGUGAGGGAAAGGCGAAAAGAACCCCGGCGAGGGGAGUGAAAAAGAACCUGAAACCGUGUACGUACAAGCAGUGGGAGCACCUUCGGGUGUGACUGCGUACCUUUUGUAUAAUGGGUCAGCGACUUAUAUUCUGUAGCAAGGUUAACCGUAUAGGGGAGCCGCAGGAAACCGAGUCUUAACUGGGCGUUAAGUUGCAGGGUAUAGACCCGAAACCCGGUGAUCAGCCAUGGGCAGGUUGAAGGUUGGGUAACACUAACUGGAGGACCGAACCGACUAAUGUUGAAAAAUUAGCGGAUGACUUGUGGCUGGGGGUGAAAGGCCAAUCAAACCGGGAGAUAGCUGGUUCUCCCCGAAAGCUAUUUAGGUAGCGCCUCGUGAAUUCAUCUUCGGGGGUAGAGCACUGUUUCGGCUAGGGGGUCAUCCCGACUUACCAACCCGAUGCAAACUACGAAUACCGAAGAAUGUUAUCACGGGAGACACACGGCGGGUGCUAACGUCCGUCGUGAAGAGGGAAACAACCCAGACCGCCAGCUAAGGUCCCAAAGUCAUGGUUAAGUGGGAAACGAUGUGGGAAGGCACAGACAGCCAGGAUGUUGGCUUAGAAGCAGCCAUCAUUUAAAGAAAGCGUAAUAGCUCACUGGUCGAGUCGGCCUGCGCGGAAGAUGUAACGGGGCUAAACCAUGCACCGAAGCUGCGGCAGCGACACUAUGUGUUGUUGGGUAGGGGAGCGUUCUGUAAGCCUGCGAAGGUGUGCUGUGAGGCAUGCUGGAGGUAUCAGAAGUGCGAAUGCUGACAUAAGUAACGAUAAAGCGGGUGAAAAGCCCGCUCGCCGGAAGACCAAGGGUUCCUGUCCAACGUUAAUCGGGGCAGGGUGAGUCGACCCCUAAGGCGAGGCCGAAAGGCGUAGUCGAUGGGAAACAGGUUAAUAUUCCUGUACUUGGUGUUACUGCGAAGGGGGGACGGAGAAGGCUAUGUUAGCCGGGCGACGGUUGUCCCGGUUUAAGCAUGUAGGCUGGUUAUCCAGGCAAAUCCGGAUAAUCAAGGCUGAGGUGUGAUGACGAGGCACUACGGUGCUGAAGUAACAAAUGCCCUGCUUCCAGGAAAAGCCUCUAAGCAUCAGGUAACAUCAAAUCGUACCCCAAACCGACACAGGUGGUCAGGUAGAGAAUACCAAGGCGCUUGAGAGAACUCGGGUGAAGGAACUAGGCAAAAUGGUGCCGUAACUUCGGGAGAAGGCACGCUGGUGUAGGUGAAGCCUGCGGGUGGAGCUGAGACCAGUCGAAGAUACCAGCUGGCUGCAACUGUUUAUUAAAACACAGCACUGUGCAAACACGAAAGUGGACGUAUACGGUGUGACGCCUGCCCGGUGCCGGAAGGUUAAUUGAUGGGGUUAUCCGUAAGGAGAAGCUCUUGAUCGAAGCCCCGGUAAACGGCGGCCGUAACUAUAACGGUCCUAAGGUAGCGAAAUUCCUUGUCGGGUAAGUUCCGACCUGCACGAAUGGCGUAAUGAUGGCCAGGCUGUCUCCACCCGAGACUCAGUGAAAUUGAACUCGCUGUGAAGAUGCAGUGUACCCGCGGCAAGACGGAAAGACCCCGUGAACCUUUACUAUAGCUUGACACUGAACAUUGAGCCUUGAUGUGUAGGAUAGGUGGGAGGCUUUGAAGCGUGGACGCCAGUCUGCGUGGAGCCAACCUUGAAAUACCACCCUUUAAUGUUUGAUGUUCUAACGUUGGCCCCUUACCGGGGUUGCGGACAGUGUCUGGUGGGUAGUUUGACUGGGGCGGUCUCCUCCUAAAGCGUAACGGAGGAGCACGAAGGUUAGCUAAUCCUGGUCGGACAUCAGGAGGUUAGUGCAAUGGCAUAAGCUAGCUUGACUGCGAGCGUGACGGCGCGAGCAGGUGCGAAAGCAGGUCAUAGUGAUCCGGUGGUUCUGAAUGGAAGGGCCAUCGCUCAACGGAUAAAAGGUACUCCGGGGAUAACAGGCUGAUACCGCCCAAGAGUUCAUAUCGACGGCGGUGUUUGGCACCUCGAUGUCGGCUCAUCACAUCCUGGGGCUGAAGUAGGUCCCAAGGGUAUGGCUGUUCGCCAUUUAAAGUGGUACGCGAGCUGGGUUUAGAACGUCGUGAGACAGUUCGGUCCCUAUCUGCCGUGGGCGCUGGAGAAUUGAGGGGGGCUGCUCCUAGUACGAGAGGACCGGAGUGGACGCAUCACUGGUGUUCGGGUUGUCAUGCCAAUGGCACUGCCCGGUAGCUAAAUGCGGAAGAGAUAAGUGCUGAAAGCAUCUAAGCACGAAACUUGCCCCGAGAUGAGUUCUCCCUGAGACUUUAAGUCUCCUGAAGGAACGUUGAAGACGACGACGUUGAUAGGCCGGGUGUGUAAGCGCAGCGAUGCGUUGAGCUAACCGGUACUAAUGAACCGUGAGGCUUAACCU
rnacentral:rRNA from 1 species